GUGUGUAAGGGGGAGGGGCGGGGGUACCGGGAGGAGGAGGAGUCUCUCGGCUCCCCCUUCUCAACGCGCACCCCGCCGCCUUGGUGAGGGGGAGGGGAAGGCUGCGAAAACAAACGUCCAACGGCCCCAACCGCCCGGUCGGGCUCGGUGCGGCGGUCACGGCCGGGGCCGCGAGGAGCCUGCAGCCGCCGCCCGGGGCAUCGCGCUGACAGGGGAGAGAGGCAACCGUCCGGAUCCCGCAGCCCGGGGGCCGCCGGCAGCCAGGCAGGCUGCACGCUCAGGAAAGGCCCGCGGCUGCAGGGAGGGCCGGGGUUUCUGCUUCUGGGGACCGGGUGGGGGCUAAAGGCCCGGGGGGUAGCCGAGUCUCCGUGGAGCCCGCGCCACCGCAAACGCCACCGCCGCCGCCUCAGCCCGCUGCUCACUCCAAAUGGCAACUAAUUCCCCCACCCGGGCCCCGCCCCCGGACCCGCCUCUCGGUGCUCGGGACCCGGCAGCGGCCGCAACGGGCCUUCCCAUUGGCUCUUCCGCCUCCCACCAGAAUUCGAGUGAUUGGUUCCAGAAUAGGAGUGACAGAAGCACCUACCAAUGACAGUGAUUACUGGAAAAGCAAUCCAGCUCAUCUCCUUACCUCCUGCCUCUUUCACCUGGACUCCGCAUAGCAGUCAGAAUAAUUUAUCUAUAAUGCAAGCUGAUCACAUCUCUUCCCUGCUUAACACCUUGAAAAUCAAGAUAACAUCCAACUCCCUAAGUUCACCAGGGCCUUCAUGAUCUGACAGCUUCUCAUUCUUCAAAUCUCACCACCUCAGAGAUGUCUCCCCUGAUUCUGUCUAAAGUUUUGAUACUCUACCUCCAUUCCCCAACCUCCAACCCCCCAAAACCUGUGGCAUAUAGCUCUAUUUGUCAGAUAGUUUAUUUGAGGGGAUUGCAAACUCUUUAAAAAUCUGCUACAAUUGUUCACAGCAUGGUCCACAUCUGCGACUACUCUUGAAAAACACCAACAGAUGAAGAUAUUUAUGAAUUUUAUGGGUGAGGAUUAAGGUGUGGAGCUUGGAGUGGCAGAGCCUGUAUCACCUCUAAAAUGGUAUGAGACACUCAGUCCAUUUAGAGGGAAGGGAACAUGGAAGGAGGAAGGUGGUUUCAACAAGCCCAGUCUGUAACUAGCAUUCUCAGAGUCAACUUGAAACUUUCAGUUCAUGAUUAUUCGUUCAUUGGAUUGCUCAGGACCUUCGUUUCUUUUCAACUUCUAUCUUUUCUAUAAUAACAUGGAAUGUUAUAGUA